rnacentral:rRNA from 1 species
UGAGGUGCUUGCACCUUAUCUUAGCGGCGGACGGGUGAGUAAUGCUUAGGAAUCUGCCUAUUAGUGGGGGACAACAUUCCGAAAGGAAUGCUAAUACCGCAUACGCCCUACGGGGGAAAGCAGGGGAUCUUCGGACCUUGCGCUAAUAGAUGAGCCUAAGUCGGAUUAGCUAGUUGGUGGGGUAAAGGCCUACCAAGGCGACGAUCUGUAGCGGGUCUGAGAGGAUGAUCCGCCACACUGGGACUGAGACACGGCCCAGACUCCUACGGGAGGCAGCAGUGGGGAAUAUUGGACAAUGGGCGGAAGCCUGAUCCAGCCAUGCCGCGUGUGUGAAGAAGGCCUUUUGGUUGUAAAGCACUUUAAGCGAGGAGGAGGCUACUUAGAUUAAUACUCUAGGAUAGUGGACGUUACUCGCAGAAUAAGCACCGGCUAACUCUGUGCCAGCAGCCGCGGUAAUACAGAGGGUGCGAGCGUUAAUCGGAUUUACUGGGCGUAAAGCGUGCGUAGGCGGCUGAUUAAGUCGGAUGUGAAAUCCCUGAGCUUAACUUAGGAAUUGCAUUCGAUACUGGUCAGCUAGAGUAUGGGAGAGGAUGGUAGAAUUCCAGGUGUAGCGGUGAAAUGCGUAGAGAUCUGGAGGAAUACCGAUGGCGAAGGCAGCCAUCUGGCCUAAUACUGACGCUGAGGUACGAAAGCAUGGGGAGCAAACAGGAUUAGAUACCCUGGUAGUCCAUGCCGUAAACGAUGUCUACUAGCCGUUGGGGCCUUUGAGGCUUUAGUGGCGCAGCUAACGCGAUAAGUAGACCGCCUGGGGAGUACGGUCGCAAGACUAAAACUCAAAUGAAUUGACGGGGGCCCGCACAAGCGGUGGAGCAUGUGGUUUAAUUCGAUGCAACGCGAAGAACCUUACCUGGCUUGACAUAGU